UACGUAGGUGGCAAGCGUUGUCCGGAUUUAUUGGGUUUAAAGGGUGUGUAGGCGGGCAGAUAAGUCAGUGGUGAAAUCCCCGAGCUUAACUUGGGAACUGCCAUUGAUACUAUUUGUCUUGAAUGUCGUGGAGGUUAGCGGAAUAUGUCAUGUAGCGGUGAAAUGCUUAGAUAUGACAUAGAACACCUAUUGCGAAGGCAGCUAACUACGCGAAUAUUGACGCUGAGGCACGAAAGCGUGGGGAUCAAACAGG
rnacentral:rRNA from 1 species